AAUAUACUCCCUCCGUUCCAAAAUUCUUGUCUUACAUUUUUCUAGAUACGGAUGUAUAUAAUACUAAAAUAUGACUUGAUACAUCCGUAUUUAGACAAAUUUAAGACAAGAAUUUUGAGACGGAGGGAGUAGUAA
rnacentral:pre_miRNA from 1 species